GAGGGAAAUGCCAAAAGUUGGUGGGAAUUUUCUCCUCCCUCAUCUGAGAGAUGGAUUUGCUGGGGCUGUAAGAGGUUCUCCAGGGUCUGCCAGAGGAUCUCAAUGGAAAUCACUUUAAUUUGAGGAGAAUCCUUUCUGUUCUCAAAGCAUUAUUUUGAGCCAAUUCUUUCCUGCUGUGUGAUUUUUGCAAUAUGAAGACUUGACACAGAAUUGUCCUGUGGGUAAAGGCUUGGCCAGAGGCUGGAAGGAGAAGUAUUCAGAAACAGUUUUUGUUUGAUUUUGGAUGUUCCUCUAGGUUUUCCCUGUCACUUAACCUCCUGUCUGUGACAUGGGAAAUUCUUUUUCUUGCCUUAGUGGGCUUCUAUAAGAAUAUAUACUUAGAGAGUCAUGAGAACUGCAAACUGUGGGGCUUGGCCAGGAGCACAGAGGAGCACUCUGGAGCAGCCAGCAGAGAUGGAAGUGUUCCCUUCUGUGACCACGGUCCCAGUUUGCAGGCUGCCUUCACAAUCAGGUCUCCUGGUGCCAAUGGUGACCAGAAGUUUCUGCUGCUCCCGAGACAGUCGCCUGCUUCAGAAAUAAAUGGAAUGGAAUCACAAAGGUUGGAAAAGAUCCUCAAGAUCAUCGAGUCCAUAAAGCUGGCACUGCCACCAAGCCAGCACCACAUCCUUCAAAUACCCUUGGAAAAGAGAUGGCACCAGACUCCCUGUGGUAAAUUCAUUUCUGGCAGUGGAAUGGCACCGCUGGUGCCACUGAUUUCCCGGAUUUCAGUGGGAAUGCACAGCUCCAGCCAAGGCCCUGCUGCCCCUCUCCUCAUUCACAACUGAAGUUGUUUUGAUGAACAGCAAUCAGCUGCUGCUGGUAAUGCCAAGCCUGCAGCCCUCCGUGCUGGGUGAGGAGUGGGACCUGCACAUCACCCCCCGAGCGCGCCCCGCGUGUGCC
rnacentral:lncRNA from 1 species